UCCGAUAUGGUCUAGUGGCUAGGAUUUGCCGCUCUCAUGCCGGCAAGGCCCGGGUUCGGUAAGCUUCUUCGAUUGCCCCUCAGUUCGAUCUCCUCUAACAACGAUUCAGAUUCCCGGUGUCGGAA